rnacentral:rRNA from 1 species
UACGAAGGGGGCAAGCGUUGUUCGGAAUUACUGGGCGUAAAGGGCGCGCAGGCGGCAUAUGUAGUCAGGCGUGAAAGCCCCGGGCUUAACCUGGGAAUUGCGUUUGAUACUCAUAAGCUGGAGUUCGGGAGAGGUUGGUGGAAUUCCCAGUGUAGAGGUGAAAUUCGUAGAUAUUGGGAAGAACACCGGUGGCGAAGGCGGCCAACUGGACCGAAACUGACGCUGAGGCGCGAAAGCGUGGGGAGCAAACAGG